rnacentral:rRNA from 1 species
UACGGGGGGGGUAAGCGUUGUUCGGAAUUACUGGGCGUAAAGGGCUCGUAGGCGGCCAACUAAGUCAGACGUGAAAUCCCUCAGCUUAACUGGGGAACUGCGUCUGAUACUGGAUGGCUUGGAUCCGGGAGAGGGAUGCGGAAUUCCAGGUGUAGCGGUGAAAUGCGUAGAUAUCUGGAGGAACACCGGUGGCGAAGGCGGCAUCCUGGACCGACAUUGACGCUGAUGAGCGAAAGCUAGGGGAGCAAACGGG